AGAAACCCUAAAUUUGCAAAACCGAGAUAUAUCCGAUCAUUCUCUUCGGUCUCCAUGGAGCAGUGAAUCUUCUUCUAUCUUUACAUCUCCCCAUAUUUACUCAGGCAUCAUUAAUGCUUCGGAAUCGUAACAGUUUAGUUAUUCCUUCCUAUAUAUAACAACUCAAAUACAGCUCCUAACUCCGGAGAAGAAGUAACGCUAUUCGUUCUCCAACUCGCUAUCCUCGAGAAAACCACCACCGGAAUCUGGUUCGUCACCAUCAUCCUCCUCAUCGAAGGCGCCAGAAUCUUCAGCAGAAGGGCCAUGAGCUUGAGUUGCAGCACCAAGGUUGAAGGAAAACGCGAGCGUGUACUCAAAUCCGAGAAGGGAGAGAUGGAGGCAUGACUCAGCAAGGAGAAUAUAUAAACUCUGCAACUAAAGGAAGACCUAAAAGAGAAUGAUACUGCGAAACAACGAGUUAUACAAGCUUGAGGUUGCAGAGGUAAGACAAAAGCUUCAGACAACGGAAACACUUGAAAAGGAACUGAAGCUCCUCCACCUUCAAAGAGAGGUUGCGUCUGAACAAGCCACCGCCAAUGUGAAUGGCAAAAGACAAAGCUUUGGUGGCGUCUGGGGAUGGCUUACUGAAACUCCUCCGCCAGAACAUGAAUCCAUUGACUAUGUACCGCAGAAAGAUAAUUUAAAAGAACGUGUAUUGUUCUCUAUCUCUGAGCCGACAACAACCAUAGUGUUCUGCAAGGAUGAUCUCCGUUAAACUCAUUGCAAGGAUCACAAGUCUUCAUCUUCUAAGAUUUUGUUGAAAAUGACGAGCAAGUGCGAAAUCUUUUGCGAGAUUUUGAUUGCAGUCCUUCUUCCUCUUCUAGGAGUUUGCCAGGCUGUUGCACUGUUUGGUUGGUAGGUGGAGUUCUUGAUUUGCUUGGUCCUGACUAUCGUAGGAUAAGUACGAGGGAUAAUCUAUGCGCUUUACGUGAUUGUAUUCCAGAACCAAGAAGAGUAUUUCGAUGAAGCCAGACGCCCUCUCUACUAUUCUUCAUGAUAUCUCUCCGUCUCUCUGUCAGAAUCUGUUUGUUCGUUGAGAAAUUUUCACUCUUUGUACCAAAUAAGUUUUUUUUUUUUUUUAAUGUGUGUUUAAGGUUGACAUGAUUAGGUCGUAAGUAAUCUUCUGCUCCUUAGACAUGAUUAGGUCGUAAGUAAUUUUCUUCACCGACGAUUCAGCAUCUUUUCUCGGCCGUUAUUAUGUUAAAGAAUGUUCUUCCUCUCAA